rnacentral:rRNA from 1 species
UACGUAGGGUGCGAGCGUUAAUCGGAAUUACUGGGCGUAAAGCGUGCGCAGGCGGUUCGUUGUGUCGGCGGUGAAAGCCCCGGGCUUAACCUGGGAAUGGCCGUUGAAACUGGCGAACUGGAGUGUGGCAGAGGGGGGUGGAAUUCCGCGGGUAGCAGUGAAAUGCGUAGAGAUGCGGAGGAACACCGAUGGCGAAGGCAGCCCCCUGGGCUAACACUGACGCUCAGGCACGAAAGCGUGGGGAGCAAACAGG